AUCUGUUUUGACAUGACUGAGGAGGCAUACAUGACAAAAGGUGGCUACAGAUUUUGCUACAAAUGUAUUCAUCAGAGUUUGGAGGACAAUAAUAGAUGUCCCGAGUGUAAUUAUGUUGUGGGCAAUAUUGACCAUCUCUAUCCUAAUUUAUUGGUGAGAGAGCUCAUUCUCAAACAGAAGCAAAGAUUUGAGGAAAAGAGGUUCAAAUUGGACCACUCAGUGAGUACCACCAAU
rnacentral:lncRNA from 1 species